rnacentral:lncRNA from 1 species
AUCUAUUCUACAAAAACUGAAGUACACAAUCAUUUUUACCUAUUUUAAGUGAGUUUUUACAGAUUUUCCUUUCCUUUUUGACUAAUUCUAGCCAGCUCAUCUAUUGUUUUCAUUUAAGUGUUUUAUUACAUUUUUUACAUUCAUUUUUCACUUCUCCAAAUUACUUCAUUAAUUAUAGUUACCAUAAUAAUUUGAUGUCAUCUAUUUUACGUAUUAACCAUAAUAACUUCACGUGUUCGUUGUCAAAAAAAAAAAAACAAUUCCACAUUUCAGUUUUGAAAAUCAAAGGUUGAGAUGUGAUUAUCGAAUAUCCAUGUCAUAAUGUAUCUUUUUGCAUAAUGU